UGGGGAAUCUUGGACAAUGGGCGCAAGCCUGAUCCAGCCAUGCCGCGUGGAUGAUGAAGGCCUUAGGGUUGUAAAAUCCUUUCGUUGGGGACGAUAAUGACGGUACCCAAAGAAGAAGCUCCGGCUAACUUCGUGCCAGCAGCCGCGGUAAUACGAAGGGGGCUAGCGUUGUUCGGAUUUACUGGGCGUAAAGCGUGCGCAGGCGGUUCUAUAAGACAGAUGUGAAAUCCCCGGGCUCAACCUGGGAAUGGCAUUUGUGACUGUAGAGCUAGAGUACGGUAGAGGGGGAUGGAAUUCCGCGUGUAGCAGUGAAAUGCGUAGAUAUGCGGAGGAACACCGAUGGCGAAGGCAAUCCCCUGGACCUGUACUGACGCUCAUGCACGAAAGCGUGGGGAGCAAACAGGAUUAGAUACCCACGUAGUCCCUGAGCGGGCUGGCAAGGCGCAU
rnacentral:rRNA from 1 species